rnacentral:rRNA from 1 species
GAUGAACGCUGGCGGCGUGCCUAAUACAUGCAAGUCGAGCGAAUGGAUUAAGAGCUUGCUCUUAUGAAGUUAGCGGCGGACGGGUGAGUAACACGUGGGUAACCUGCCCAUAAGACUGGGAUAACUCCGGGAAACCGGGGCUAAUACCGGAUAACAUUUUGAACCGCAUGGGUCGAAAUUGAAAGGCCGGUUCGGCUGGCACUUAUGGAUGGACCAGCGUCGCAUUAGCUAGUUGGUGAGGUAACGGCUAACCAAGGCAACGAUGCGUAGCCGACCUGAGAGGGUGAUCGGCCACACUGGGACUGAGACACGGCCCAGACUCCUACGGGAGGCAGCAGUAGGGAAUCUUCCGCAAUGGACGAAAGUCUGACGGAGCAACGCCGCGUGAGUGAUGAAGGCUUUCGGGUCGUAAAACUCUGUUGUUAGGGAAGAACAAGUGCUAGUUGAAUAAGCUGGCACCUUGACGGUACCUAACCAGAAAGCCACGGCUAACUACGUGCCAGCCGCCGCAGUAA